CAGCCGCCGCGGUAAUACGUAGGGUGCAAGCGUUAAUCGGAAUUACUGGGCGUAAAGCGUGCGCAGGCGGUUCGUUAAGACAGAUGUGAAAUCCCCGGGCUUAACCUGGGAACUGCAUUUGUGACUGGCGGGCUAGAGUAUGGCAGAGGGGGGUAGAAUUCCACGUGUAGCAGUGAAAUGCGUAGAUAUGUGGAGGAAUACCGAUGGCGAAGGCAGCCCCCUGGGAUAACACUGACGCUCAUGCACGAAAGCGUGGGGAGCAAACAGGAUUAGAUACCCGAGUAGUCCCUGUCUCUUAUAA
rnacentral:rRNA from 1 species